rnacentral:tRNA from 1 species
GCUCCGGUAGACCAACGGCAGAGUCAUCUGGUUUAAGCCCAGUCCAGUGAGAGUUCGAAUCUCUCUCGGAGUA